rnacentral:rRNA from 1 species
AGAAUCAACGCUGGCGGCGUGCCUAACACAUGCAAGUCGCACGAGAAAGGGACUUCGGUCCUGAGUAAAGUGGCGCACGGGUGAGUAACACGUGAAUCAUCUACCCUCGAGUGGGGAAUAACCUAGAGAAAUCUGGGCUAAUACCGCAUAAUACUUACGAGUCAAAGCAGCAAUGCGCUUGGGGAGGAGUUCGCGGCCGAUUAGCUAGUUGGCGGGGUAAUGGCCCACCAAGGCGAUGAUCGGUAUCCGGCCUGAGAGGGCGCACGGACACACUGGAACUGAAACACGGUCCAGACUCCUACGGGAGGCAGCAGUGGGGAAUUUUUGCGCAAUGGGGGAAACCCUGACGCAGCAACGCCGCGUGGAGGAUGAAGUAUCUUGGUACGUAAACUCCUUUCGAUGGGGAAGAUAAUGACGGUACCCAUAGAAGAAGCCCCGGCUAACUUCGCGCCAGCAGCCGC